rnacentral:rRNA from 1 species
UAGGGAAUCUUCGGCAAUGGACGAAAGUCUGACCGAGCAACGCCGCGUGAGUGAAGAAGGCUUUCGGAUCGUAAAACUCUGUUGGUAGAGAAGAACGUUGGUGAGAGUGGAAAGCUCAUCAAGUGACGGUAACUACCCAGAAAGGGACGGCUAACUACGUGC